GUAAGAGUCCCAGGAUAUUUGGAUGGUUGAUUUGAAUUCUUAUCUGCUUGAGGAGACAUUGCAUCAUAAAAAGGUUCAGCCUCAACCUUUCGUAGAGAAAAGAGGCUGUACAGGAAGCACAGCAGCUUCUGCUUCUGGGAGGCUUCAGGAAACUUACAAUUAUGAUGGAAGGUGAAGAGGAAGCAGGCAUGUCUUACAUGGCUGGAGCAGGAGCAACAGAGAGGAGGAGGGGAGGUGCUACACACUUUUAAAUGACAAGAUCUCGUGAGAACUCACUCGCUAUACAGCACCAACGGGUGCAGUGCUAAACCAUUCAUGAGAACUCUGCCUCCAGGAUCCAGUCACCUCCCAACAGGCCCUACCUCCAACAUUGAAGAUUACCAUUGGACAUGUGAUUUGUGUGAGGAAGCAGAUCCAAACUAUAUCAAUCCUCAAAACAACCUUAUGAGGAUGUACUUACAUCCCAACAAACUGAAAAUGCUGACCAACUGCAGCACAGCCAACUCGAAUUUGCUCUUUCGUCAAAGUGACCAGCACCUCAUUUCUUCGUCUUUAGAAUUUGUAGAACUUGUAUUCUUAGUCCAGCUGUUUAAUAAAUUGCAAUCACCUAAACACAUGCUCCUAAAUCAAAUCUCGGAUGUCAGAAAGAGCACUGAACCAUCACCGGUUUCUGUUUUUUGGAGAUGCCAAGUCAUAAUAUGCUUUUAA
rnacentral:lncRNA from 1 species